rnacentral:rRNA from 1 species
GACGAACGCUGGCGGCGUGCUUAACACAUGCAAGUCGAACGGCAAGGCCCUGCUUUUGUGGGGUGCUCGAGUGGCGAACGGGUGAGUAACACGUGAGUAACCUGCCCUUGACUUUGGGAUAACUUCAGGAAACUGGGGCUAAUACCGGAUCGGAGCUCCUGCUGCAUGGUGGGGGUUGGAAAGUUUCGGCGGUUGGGGAUGGACUCGCGGCUUAUCAGCUUGUUGGUGGGGUAGUGGCUUACCAAGGCUUUGACGGGUAGCCGGCCUGAGAGGGUGACCGGGCACAAUGGGACUGAGAUACGGCGCAGACGGCUACGGGGGGCAGCGGUGGGGAAUAUUGCACAGUGGGCGGAAGCCUGAUGCAGCAGCGCCGCGUGCGGGAUGACGGCCUUCGGGGUGUAAACCGCUUUCGCCUGUGACGAAGCGUGAGUGACGGUAAUGGGUAAAGAAGCACCGGCUAACUACGUG